UCAGCUACUAUGAGAUAUCUCUUCCUAACAAUAUCUCCCAUGUUCUUCUUCCUUCUUACGAUCCUUGCAUCCACCGAGCCACGUCCAACUCCCAUACUAAGACAUGACAACCAAAGCAGCGACCUCUUCUCCGCCAUUUCCGACAUGAGAAGAGAAUCGUACUACGGUUUUGUCACACUUCUCCAUAUCCUCAACGACACAGAUUUCGUCAGGAGCCAAGAGAUCACUUUCUUGAUGCCUAACGACGAGGAUAUAUCUCAAGCGGACAUGAGUCAAGAGAGUCUUGAGACGUUCAUCUUAAGACACACGAUCCCAGCAUGGCUUAUGAUCAACCACAUGCUUCGCUUCCCUAACAAGACUCUUGUCCCUUGUAGCAUCCCUGAUAGAAUGUUCACCAUUACAAAGUCAGGCGGGUCGGGACUUUUUGUGAAUAAUGCGAGGAUUGUUUCUCCUAAUAUUUGUCAGAACUCUCGCAUAUCGUGCCAUGGAAUCAGCAAUGUUAUUAUGUUCAAUGAAGACUCGUUUCCAAAGGGAAGGUUAUCACCCAAAAUGUUAUCAUCAAGAAUCAAUUCGUCGAGGCACUGAAACUUCUUUCUCUUGAUCAACUUCGGAGGGUGUGAAGAUGUUCUAAUAUGCUUUUUAAGAAAAUAAUAAGAGUUGUAGAUUUGUCAAAAAAAUCAUGUAACAGAGCUACAGUGUGACCAAUAAACUCUAGACUGUGUUUUCCUUCAGAUUUAAAUUUACUAGACAUUAAUGUCGAUCUGAUGUUUUAUGUCGAGCAGUAUAAAUCUAAAAAAAUCUAAAAAAAAAUAAGCAAUGGUGUAUUGAUUCUGAUUCGUAUAGCAUAGUGUGAUUGAUACGGUUUACAUCUAGCUUUUGUACGAGAUCAAGCUCAUGAUAAGUUCAAUGUAUAUAGAUAGAUAUGUUCUUAAUAGAUUUGGAUGAUUUUGCCUCUUUCUCUAAUGUGCCGCCUAAUGGUAAGAGACAAGAGAAAUGCACUUGUGAUUCUCCAAAAUGCAGAGACAUGAAUACAUCAAAGUCAAACUAGUCAUAACCAAGUAUGUAAUUGUCAUUCUCCAAAAUGACACGCACAUAGAUCGAACCAGAUAAUCGUCUAUGUUUCAAAAUACUACUUUUCACACAUUUUAAUAAAACACAUUAAAUUUACAUAAUUUUUUGUAUUUUUUUUCAUAAUGUUAAACCAAUAAAAAAUUAAUAAAUGUACUUAAAUUUUUCGAAAUUUGCAACUAAUUAAUAAAACAUGUAUUGAAGAUGUAAAAAUAAAUUUUGAUGAAACAAUUUUUUUCUUCUUGAAUAUUUAACUUUAUGAAAUGGAUGGAGUAAUAUACUUGCAAUCCAAGUUUGGGUAAAUAAUGUAAAGAUCGAUACUUUAUGGACAACAAUGUAAAAAGUUCACAACUUGAGCCUUCCCAGUAAAAAAAACCUUCAUAGUCUAAAACCUAACCUUAAAGAACAAAACAUCGCCGCCGAUUCAUACUUCUCCUGCUCUCACUCUACACAUUGCCCAAAGAAGAUGGAAAGGAUCAAGCUGAAGAGGACUAGUGAAAUUGUAACAAAAUGCUAUUUGUAAUUAUCAGCAAAGGUUGAUAAAGAACUAUUAUAAUAAGUCAUAUGAUCCUAAAUUGUAAACAAAAUUGUUUAGUAAGAUUUCUGUAAGCUUAUUUUGCAUUUUAACUAAAAGUUUUUUUUAUUAAAAAGAAGUAUAAUAUGACUCAGAGAGAGAUUCCACACGAGUAUUCUUGUCACACUUACUAAAUGAACUAAAGUCACGAAUCAACCAUGCAUCAACUAAUCACCACGAGGCUUAUACCGGUUUAGUAACAACUCCAAAAACUCAUGAUCUUCUAAGUUUAACUUUCCUACAUAGUAUAUAUAAGUUCGUUUUCAACCCUUUAAAAUUGAUCAUGUGUGAUGGUUUUAAUAUCAGCUACUAUGAGAUAUCUCUUCCUAACAAUAUCUCCCAUGUUCUUCUUCCUUCUUACGAUCCUUGCAUCCACCGAGCCACGUCCAACUCCCAUACUAAGACAUGACAACCAAAGCAGCGACCUCUUCUCCGCCAUUUCCGACAUGAGAAGAGAAUCGUACUACGGUUUUGUCACACUUCUCCAUAUCCUCAACGACACAGAUUUCGUCAGGAGCCAAGAGAUCACUUUCUUGAUGCCUAACGACGAGGAUAUAUCUCAAGCGGACAUGAGUCAAGAGAGUCUUGAGACGUUCAUCUUAAGACACACGAUCCCAGCAUGGCUUAUGAUCAACCACAUGCUUCGCUUCCCUAACAA
rnacentral:lncRNA from 1 species